UGGCUUAAAGCCAAACACAGUUAUUUCACUCCCUUUUGCAGUGACUGGCCUAGAUGUAGACCAAAGAACAUGAAGAUGAGUCUACA